UGGGGAAUUUUGCGCAAUGGGCGAAAGCCUGACGCAGCAACGCCGCGUGGAGGAUGAAGGCCUUCGGGUCGUAAACUCCUGUCAGGGGGGACGAAAGUUCCGCGCAAGCGGGAUCUGACUGUACCCCCGGAGGAAGCCACGGCUAACUCCGUGCCAGCAGCCGCGGUAAUACGGAGGUGGCAAGCGUUGUUCGGAAUUACUGGGCGUAAAGGGCGCGUAGGCGGCUUGGCAAGUCAGAUGUGAAAGCCCCAGGCUUAACUUGGGAACUGCAUCUGAAACUGCUUUGCUUGAGUCCUGGAGGGGGCAGUGGAAUUCCCAGUGUAGCGGUGAAAUGCGUAGAUAUUGGGAGGAACACCGGCGGCGAAGGCGGCUGCCUGGACAGUGACUGACGCUGAUGCGCGAAAGCUAGGGGAGCAAACG
rnacentral:rRNA from 1 species